UACGAGGGGGGCGAGCGUUGUUCGGAAUUAUUGGGCGUAAAGGGUGCGUAGGCGGUUUGGUAAGUCUCUUGUGAAAUCUAUGGGCUCAACUCAUAGUCUGCAAGGGAAACUGCCGGGCUUGAGUGUGGGAGAGGUGAGUGGAAUUUCCGGUGUAGCGGUGAAAUGCAUAGAUAUCGGAAGGAACACCUGUGGCGAAAGCGGCUCACUGGACCACAACUGACGCUGAUGCACGAAAGCUAGGGGAGCAAACAGG
rnacentral:rRNA from 1 species